rnacentral:rRNA from 1 species
UAGAGAUAGCUGGUUAUUCAGGAAAAGGAUCUUAGUCCAAUUUUAACUCUUUACUUAACAUCAAAUAUACUCACAGAUUUAAAAUCUAUUCAAAUAAGGUACAGCCUAUUUGAAACAGGAUACAACCUCCAAUAGAGGGUAAUGCUCAAAUAAAACUGACCAAGUGGGCCUAAAAGCAGCCACCUUUUAAAAAGCGUUAAAGCUUCAUCAAAUUUAAUUAUAAAUACUGAUCUAAACCCAAAACCCCUUAACCCUACUGAAUGACUUCAUAAUUAUAUGAAAAUCCUUAUGUUAGAACUAGUAACAAGAAUAACCAUUCUCCUACAAAUGUAAGUGUAAGCCGAAAUGGACCAUCCAUCGGCACUCACCGCCAAUGAGCCCACAGUAAUAACUCUAACAAGAAAAUUUUACUUUUUUCCCAGCGUUAACCUUACACAAGAACUUUUCUGGAAAGAUUAAAAAAAGAGGAAGGAACUCGGCAAACAUUAACCCCGCCUGUUUACCAA